CCUACGGGAGGCAGCAGUGAGGAAUAUUGGUCAAUGGACGAGAGUCUGAACCAGCCAAGUAGCGUGAAGGAUGACUGCCCUAUGGGUUGUAAACUUCUUUUAUAUGGGAAUAAAACGUUCCACGUGUGGGAUGUUGUAUGUACCAUAUGAAUAAGGAUCGGCUAACUCCGUGCCAGCAGCCGCGGUAAUACGGAGGAUCCGAGCGUUAUCCGGAUUUAUUGGGUUUAAAGGGAGCGUAGGUGGGUUGUUAAGUCAGUUGUGAAAGGUUGCGGCUCAACCGUAAAAUUGCAGUUGAAACUGGCAGUCUUGAGUACAGUAGAGGUGGGCGGAAUGCGUGGUGUAGCGGUGAAAUGCUUAGAUAUCACGAAGAACUCCGAUUGCGAAGGCAGUUCACUGAACUGCAACUGACAGUGAGGCUCGAAAGUGUGGGUAUCAAACAGGAUUAGAUACCCGAGUAGUC
rnacentral:rRNA from 1 species